rnacentral:rRNA from 1 species
AGGGUGUGCCUACGGGUGGCUGCAGUAACGAAUAUUCCACAAUGCGCGAAAGCGUGAUGGAGCAAUGCCGCGUGCAGGAUGAAGGCCUUCGGGUUGUAAACUGCUGUCAGGGUUUAGGAACAUAAUGACCAGACCCAAAGGAAGAGACGGCUAACUCUGUGCCAGCAGCCGCGGUAAUACAGAGGUCUCGAGCGUUAAUCGGAAUCACUGGGCUUAAAGCGUACGCAGGCGGACCGGUAAGUACUUUGUGAAAUCCCCCGGCUCAACCGGGGAACUGCUUGGUAUACUGCCGGUCUCGAGCAUGGUAGAGGCGGUCGGAACGAUAGGUGGAGCGGUGAAAUGCGUAGAUAUCUAUCGGAACGCCGAAGGUGAAGACAGGCCGCUGGGCCAUGGCUGACGCUCAGGUACGAAAGCGUGGGGAGCGAACGGGAUUAGAUACCCCGGUAGUCCACGCCCUAAACGAUGUGCACUAGAUCAGGGAGGUUCUGAUACCCUCCGGGUCGAAGCAAAAGUGUUAAGUGCACCGCCUGGGGAGUACGGUCGCAAGGCUAAAACUCAAAUGAAUUGGCGGGG